rnacentral:rRNA from 1 species
AUUGAACGCUGGCGGCAGGCCUAACACAUGCAAGUCGAGCGGAUGAAGGGAGCUUGCUCCUGGAUUCAGCGGCGGACGGGUGAGUAAUGCCUAGGAAUCUGCCUGGUAGUGGGGGAUAACGUCCGGAAACGGGCGCUAAUACCGCAUACGUCCUGAGGGAGAAAGUGGGGGAUCUUCGGACCUCACGCUAUCAGAUGAGCCUAGGGCGGAUUAGCUAGUUGGUGGGGUAAAGGCCUACCAAGGCGACGAUCCGUAACUGGUCUGAGAGGAUGAUCAGUCACACGGGAACUGAGACACGGUCCUGACUCCUACGGGAGGCAGCAGUGGGGAAUAUUGGACAAAGGGCGAAAGCCUGAUCCAGCCAUGCCGCGUGUGUGAAGAAGGUCUUCGGAUUGUAAAGCACUUUAAGUUGGGAGGAAGGGCAGUAAGUUAAUACCUUGCUGUUUUGACGUUACCAACAGAAUAAGCACCGGCUAACUUCGUG